GUGCUGCCUCGUGCUUGUUGUGCCGCUCCUGGCGUCUCUGCCGUUCGCUGUCGGUCGGGGUCGUCGUCGUCGUCCCAGUCGACCCAACGCCAUCAUUGUCUCGGCUGCCCUCUGACUUCUCCAACUCUUCCUGCUCCCAGCUCGCCAUCUUCCUCCGAUUCUCGACGAUGAUUAUGACAGUAACCUUCAAGUCUUUGCGCAAACACGUGGGAACAAUGGGCAGUAGCUUCUCCAAGACAAUCUAGAAUAUGACAAGUAUUGAAGCAUGUGGGAGAGCGGAUGGUAACCUUCACCUGAUGAUGAAGCAUUCACAUGAGGAACUGAGAGUUAACACUGAAUAAAUGUAGUCACAGCUUAGAGGGAGGAAAUUUGUUGUGUUGUGUUGUGAUGAUGUGACUUUGCUAUCAGGUUCUAGAUUGAUGCCGUGAGUUUGCUGUGUGCUAUAUAUAUCUUUCCUCCGUCCCCAGCAUUUUGUCAUAUCCAGUAUCAAAAUCUGAAGAAGUAGAUUUCAUCAUGUUAGUAACCUGUAACCACUAUUUUUUGGCUCGCUUGUAACUUAUUUAUAUUAUAUUAUCAUCUCUGGUUAGCUAGCA